rnacentral:rRNA from 1 species
UACAGAGGUCCCAAGCGUUGUUCGGAUUCACUGGGCGUAAAGAGCUCGUAGGCGGCUUGUCACGUCGGUUGUGAAAGCCCGGGGCUUAACCCCGGGUCUGCAGUCGAUACGGGCAGGCUAGAGUUCGGUAGGGGGAGACUGGAAUUCCUGGUGUAGCGGUGAAAUGCGCAGAUAUCAGGAGGAACACCGGUGGCGAAGGCGGGUCUCUGGGCCGUAACUGACGCUGAGGAGCGAAAGCAUGGGGAGCGAACAGG